CAAGCUUCAAAACUCUCUGAGGACAGCUUUCCCCUUUGUGUCUGUCGGGUCCCAGGCAGUCACAUCCCAGGAAGUGCUGGGGUUGGGCUCCUUGCUCCACAUCCUUCUUCAGUGGCACGAAGCGUGGGGUGGAGUGUGUGAGUCAUGUGUGAUCUUGGUGUGGGCUAUGGCUGGUCUGCAGCACCCCUUCAAUGACUGCUUCAAGGGCUUUUCAUGAUGCUUGUAGCUCAUGAGCUAGUGUUUCCUAGAUGCUGUUUCCAGGUGUCUUGCAUGUCACACACUGGCCUACCAGGGCUGGAGUGAGAUCAUGAGCGCCAGAUUGUUGGUGAAGGAAGUUGACAGAGACAUCGAAUGUCGGUGAACAGGAGUGACCUUGGGUCUCAAUAAAUACUGUGGUCAACUGAAUCCAGAACCCACCCUUACCAGCAGGGCCCACUUCUUCCCCAGCAGGCCGAGCUCUUCCCCUCCUGUCUUCCCUGGCCCUUGCUUUGUAGCUCUGUGUGGCUGUGUCAUGUCUGGUUGUAUCUGUAUAUACUUCUGCCUCUCCCGCUAUCUAGAUGGCUCGGGGAGGCACACCACACACCAGGUCACCUUCCUCUCUGAACCCCCAGCACCUCAUACUGUUUCUGUGCAGAGAUAAGGCUGGGUGAAAGCUUGUGUGAAUGAUCUGAAGUCUUCUACUCUAGGCCAGUCUCCAGGAGCAUUAUGAUCUUUAGGAGGGUGGGCUUGGUUCCUCUGUACAAUAAUGGGUCAUAAAACUGAGUGGUCAAGAUCAUCCCGGUGAGGGCAGUCCGUGUGUUGCCAUAGUUGCUGUACCGGUUAAGAAUGCACCUGGCUGCAAUUUCCUGAAAACCUGACGUAUAGUGGCUUAAACAAAGAGUGGUUUAUUUUCCUUCUGUCAUAGCAAUCUGGGGGAGGCCACUGUGGCUUUGGCGCAGGAGGUCGGGAAAGGCCCGCUUCUCUGAUAUCAUUGGGGGCCUCCCCAGUGCUUGUGUGGCAGAAUGACAAGAGGAAGAAGAAGGAGAAUUAUGGCACUGAGUAUCAUGAGAUUUGGGGUCAUAUAUCUUUAGUGGGCGGUGUUUGCUGCCCCAAAUGUCUCAUGCCAUUAAAAUGUUCUGGAAAUGAUUUAGGUAGUUGGAGUUUCCUUCCCAAAGACAAGGCAUUUACAGCAUGAUGUCCAAUAUCCAUUGAGUUUGUGUCAUGCAUUCAUUGUAUUCAUAGUCUGCUUUAGGUACUUAGCAAAAUAUUGCUGAUAUUAACAUGCCUUUGUUUGCUUCACUGGAGAUGAAAUUGUGCUCCAAGUGUUUUCCAAGGUUCCGUAUGACCCAUCAUUUGAUGAAACAAGAACAGCAGUCAGAUCCAUUACAAAGAGAGACACACAAAAAAACUAUGUGAAAAUGAGCUUAGCCCCUGGUGUUGUGUUGGAACUUCAGAUGCUUGCAGACACUUCAUGAAUGCUCUGUGACACUCAGAAUAGGUGGGUUCAGGCCAAGUGCAUGAUGCUCACCUCAAAAUCCCGUGCAGAAGAGUAUCAAUCUGAAGGGAACAGCUGCAGACCCAAUGAAAGACUUAAUCACAGCCAUGGUUUAUUUUCCCUUAGGCUAUUCCCAACAGAAGAGCUUGAACAAUGCUGCAUUUGCAUCAGGUUCAAAUGAGCGAGAGGAACAUUUGGCUAAAAUAUUUGGAACCAGCAUUGCUUGGAAUUCUCCUAAACCAGAAUAUUUCCUUGGC
rnacentral:lncRNA from 10 species